ACCUGCCUAUUAAUCGAUUUUCCACGAUAUAUUUCACUUUUAUUUAAAUCUUAUAUACCUCCAUCUCAAGGAUUAAUAUUUAUAUUCUUCCCAUAAUAGAAAUUCUAAAAAGUUAGGUAAAGGUGUAGACCACAUAAAAGUUAGGGUGGGUUACAAUAAAUCUAAUUUAAGGAUAUUUAUUUAAAAUUUAGUUGAAAAAGGAUUUAUAAGUAAUUUAAGAAUAAUAUUCUUUAAUGAAUUNGAUAAAUAAUGUGU
rnacentral:rRNA from 1 species